rnacentral:lncRNA from 1 species
UUGGAAUAGUGGGAUGGAAAAUGGAACACAGAACCUGGAACACAAGAAAAUAACUUUGUCUUCUGCUGUGCAGAGAUUAACCUGGCUUCCAAGUGGCUCAAGCCUAUAUGUGCCCUGGGACCCAUGGCCCUGACUCCCCUCGCUCUCCCUGCGCCCCUAGGCCACUGGCCCCCACCUGCUCCUGGAUGAUGCUGACGGGGCCGUGGUGAGUCAGCUGGGGCUGAGACGGUGUUCUCGAGGAUGUGCGCUUCUGCAAGUGAAGAUGAGCGUGGAGGUAGACAGCACUGUGAACAUCUCCUGAGUGCCGGGUCUUAGUCGUCCGUUCGAGGCUGGGUUUGCCCCAAAGCAGACUCUGAGCGAGGAUCUCAGUGCAAGACGCGUAUUUGGGAGGCGAAUCAGGGAAGCAUGAUAUCCCCAAGUGCUUAAUCUAUGCUGUGGACUGAAAGACAGCGACAACAGCGUGCAGACCCCUGCUGUCCCAGUAGUGGCAUGCUGGGGGAGACAGACGGCCGACAGCCAGGGCCUCACAGGGCAGUCCUGAUCCAGGGCUGUUUGGAAAUGUUGGGGACACUAACACCUCCUCACAGAGCUGCGAGGCUCGAGUGGGAUAAGGUGCACAAGGUAGCACACGUUGGCCUGGCAGAUAGUGGGUGCUCAAUCAGUGCUUGUUGGAUAAAUGAACCAAUAAAAGCAGUUCUCUCUGAGCCCUGAUUACCAGUGAAAUGGAGCUGAGGGUCCUUUCCUUGGAAAGUUGUUAUAAAGGUUUCUAACUUUGUUUAAAUUAAUGAAUUUAAAUUAAUAAAUAGAGCUUAC